rnacentral:rRNA from 1 species
GACGAACGCUGGCGGCGUGCCUAAUACAUGCAAGUAGAACGCUGAAGCGAGGAGCUUGCUCUUCUUGGAUGAGUUGCGAACGGGUGAGUAACGCGUAGGUAACCUGCCUUGUAGCGGGGGAUAACUAUUGGAAACGAUAGCUAAUACCGCGUAACAAUGGAUGACACAUGUCAUUUAUUUGAAAGGGGCAAUUGCUCCACUACAAGAUGGACCUGCGUUGUAUUAGCUAGUAGGUGAGGUAACGGCUCACCUAGGCGACGAUACAUAGCCGACCUGAGAGGGUGAUCGGCCACACUGGGACUGAGACACGGCCCAGACUCCUACGGGAGGCAGCAGUAGGGAAUCUUCGGCAAUGGGGGCAACCCUGACCGAGCAACGCCGCGUGAGUGAAGAAGGUUUUCGGAUCGUAAAGCUCUGUUGUAAGUCAAGAACGAGUGUGAGAGUGGAAAGUUCACACUGUGACGGUAGCUUACCAGAAAGGGACGGCUAACUACGU